AUUGAACGCUGGCGGCGGGCCUAACACAUGCAAGUCGAACGAGUGGUGGACGGGUGAGUAAUGUCUGGGAAACUGCCUGAUGGAGGGGGAUAACUACUGGAAACGGUAGCUAAUACCGCAUACCAUCAGAUGUACCCAGAUGGGAUUAGCUGGUUGGUGGGGUAACGGCUCACCAGGGCGACGACCCCUAGCGGGUCUGAGAGGAUGACCAGCCACAGUGGAACUGAGACACGGUCCAGAUUCCUACGGGAGGCAGCAGUGGGGAAUAUCGGACAAUGGGCGCAAGCCUGAUGCAGCCAUGCCGGGUGUAGGAAGAAGGCCUUCGGGUGGUAAAGUACUUUCAGCGGGGAGGCGUUACCCGCAGAAGAAGCACCGGCUAACUCCGUGCCAGCAGCCGCGGUAAUUC
rnacentral:rRNA from 1 species